CAGGCGCCCGGCCCUCCCAGCCUCUGCCCCCGGACCCAGAAGAUCUAGAAGGAGCCGCAGGGCUCCAGCCCUGCGCGCCCGCCAUGGGCCCCCGCCGCCACAAACGCAAGCCCGAAACACCAAGGAGGCGCCCCGCGAGCCCGGCUCCCGCCGCCCCCCGGCCGACCCCGUCCUUAGGCACGUCCUCCCGUCCACUUGCUCGCCGGAGACAUACAGUCCUGAAGGAGAUCCGAACUCUUCAGAAGACCACACACCUGCUGUUAAGAAAGAGCCCCUUCUGCCGCCUGGCAAGAGAAAUAUGUGUUCAAUUCACUCGUGGUGUGGACUUCAAUUGGCAAGCCCAGGCCCUGUUGGCCCUACAAGAGGCGGCAGAAGCAUUUCUAGUUCAUCUCUUUGAGGAUGCCUAUCUCCUCUCCUUACACGCCGGCCGCGUCACGCUCUUCCCGAAGGAUGUGCAGCUGGCCCGGAGGAUCCGAGGCAUUCAGGAAGGGCUUGGCUGAGCUCUGGCCACCCGCCCAAGUCUCUGGUUGAUACCAGAGCUUCUGCCUGUAGCCAGGACCAGAUCCAUGGAGUACAAGGUGUUGCCUGGACUUGCUCUCUCAAAGCAGAGCGUGCGAGUUGUUUUUGUAGUUAGUUGUUUUUUAGAAGAAGACUGCAUGGCUUUCCUCUGUAACAGAGGCAAUAUAUGAGAGAAUCAACACAUUCCAGAAAUCCCGAGAAUAAUUUUCAGAUGAAGAGACUCUAAGGUUGACUUCACUUUGCAAAUUAUUCAUGUGACUGAUGAUUUGGAAGACAUCAGACUUUCUAGGUUAUAGGCAAAAAGGAUAUUUACUGAUUAUUUUAAAUCUUCUUGUACCAUUUAAAUUUUUUUACCAUAUAUAUAUAUUUACUUUUAUUUAAAACAUGAUGGAAAAAAAUAAGAGAAAACCAGUCAGUUGCAUGGAAGAGCCUGGUGCAUCCAGCGUACAAAUCUCUGUCUUCAGAUUGACUUCAUCAUUAACGGCAGAAGCAAGUUUGUACGUGGACUGUACCUGUCAACAGAUUAUACAGCUUUUCAAAAACUCAAUUGGGAUGAAAAUAGAAAAUUGUUAAGGUUUGAUGUUCUGGCUCCUUCUGGUAAAUUCCUGCCAAAAUCAUUCAGAAAUUCCAACUUGUAGAAUUUAUUUUAUUCUUUAUUUGCAAAUCAUAGACAAUGUAUCAUAAUUUAUACUUCAGAAUUUUUCAUUCCAGGAUUUUAAAGAGCCUUUUCAAUGUUUUUACAGGUAUUUUUAUAACUUCCUUGUGGAAAGAGAAUAAAAAUUAUUCUUAAUGAAAAAAAUUUGAAGCAAAGUUACUGUUAUACAUAGAUUAUACUAUGUUCUUUGUGUGUUAGCAUUAAAUUCUUCAUUUGGACACUUUGCCAACAACCACAAUUUAAACAAGAGAAUUGAGGGAUGUAUCUUUGCCUCCAGUGGAGUAGAGUAUGAGCCAAUAAAAUCCUUGCCCUUCUCUUGUAACUGAAAGCAGUUUAAGAGACUUCCAGGGAAAUAGGAAGUGCCACCUGAAGACGUUUAGAUACUGUGUGUGAUGAAAAUGAUUAGUGAGGGUGGAUACUAAUAACGAUGCAUCAGCCAACUGAAUUCAAACUAAAGGGAAGGACCAAGUUCUGUUGUUUGAUAAAUUUUAACCCUUUGUAAAAACCUUUUCCUGUUCGACAUCAACUCAUUUUUAUGUAAACAUUGAAAUAAAGCUUAUCUAUGAAUACAUUUAAA
rnacentral:misc_RNA from 1 species